rnacentral:lncRNA from 1 species
CACUACAUAAUCAUUAAUUAUCUUUACAAUUAACCAUCUAAAGAUACCACAGUUCUUCAAUCAAAGUAUAUAUCUACAUAUAUAGAGAGAGUACACUUCAUAAUUUCGUCCCUUGUCUUCCGUAAACGUAGCACGAAAAUUUGAUACCUAAUAUUGUAAGGCAGGUCGUAGAAGCAGUCUUCCUGCACAUAUUUAAAAAUAAUAGCAAAGUCAGGAAAAUGAAGGGAAAUUAUGAUCAUAAAGGUGCUGGUAUCUAUAUAUUAAUAAGACAUUUUAUCUAUAUUUAACAUAUUUCACUUACUGACUUUCCAACUUUCCACACUAAUCAAUCCUAAUACAUUCAACAUUAACCUUCAAAUUCAGAAAACUAUAAAAAUUAUUGGUACCUAACAAUAACUGAAAUUUGUAUAAAGGUGUGAACGCAAUCAAACUCACACUGCCCACCUAUGCAUACUAAUACUAGAGAUUAGUUUAUAGCAUGAAUAACAUAAAGACCUCAAAUUUGAUUAGUGCCAAAAGAACAUAUUAAUCUAUAAAAAUUUAUUGCAUCAAUAAGAAUAUACCGGGCAGGAGCCAUUUAAAGCAGAAGACACUGAUUCAGCAUUUGCUUCAGAAUUAUCAUCAACCAAACAAGAAACUACCAGAACCCCAAACAAACAAUUCGAUGUUUUUCUCAGGUUAUGAG